AUUCAUUAGUAAAUCAAUUCAUUUAUUCAUUCAUUCAUUUAUUGAUUGAUCGAUUGAUUUAUUGAUUCAUUCAUUUCUUCAUCCAUCAAGUUCAUCAUUCAUUUAUUCGUUGAAUUAUGAAUUCACAUGUAAUGCCUAUAUAAUCUCAACGCGAAGCAAUCUUGCGUCCAUUAUUGCAGACUGUUUCACUGUUUUUCGUCUUGGAUACAACGGCAGUUCAGCUUUAGCGAUAGAAGCGGUGACAUCAGGAGCGACAUCAGUAGCAACGCAGUUCCCUUAGAGCGACGAUGGAGAGAGGGAACGGUGAGCAAGCUUUCCUGCACAAUUUAGUUGAAUAUUGCCUAAAUCGGUUGCGCCAACUUUUUUUAAUUCCAAUUUGAUCACGCGCUCCCAACUCUUCAUACUAAGAACAGUCGUUAUGAAUAUACUCGCCCGGGUUCUCAACAAUCCUUUGAAAUUCCGAGGGAUGACUUUUCAAUUGAAUUAUACGCGUUUCAUUCUAUCUUCCAGUAUUUUGAGAUAAUCAAUUGAUAUAUUUAACUAAUACACAUAAGAUACA
rnacentral:misc_RNA from 1 species